GAAUCUGAGAAGGGGCAGGUCUUUCUUCUGACUCUCAGAGCAGCACCCUCUGCUGGACAGGGCUGGGCACCUCAUCUCAAGCCCAAUCUGAUCCACCAACAGAGUCCGUUAUCUCCUGUCCGGGGAAGAGUCAAGCUGCACUAAUCUAGACCAGGGAUCCCCACCCCUGGGCUGCGGACCGGUCUCCAUGGGUGGCCUGUUAGGAACUGGACCGCACAGCAGGAGGUGAGCAGUGGGUGAGGGCGCGUGACCACCUGAGCUCUGCCUCCUGUGAGAUCAGCAGCGCCACUGCAUCUCAGAGGAGUGCCAACCCUACUGUGAACUGUGCACGCGAGGGAUCUGGGUUGCAUGCUCUUUAUGAGAAUCUAACUAAUGCCUGAUGAUCUCAGGUGGAACAGUUUAAUCCUGAAACCAUCCGCCCGUCUGUGGAAAAACUGUCUUCCACCAAACCAGUCCCUGGUGCCAAAAAAGCUGGGAACCACUAAUCUAGACAGUUCUCUGCUAAGGAAGCACGUGGUUGAGAAGCAUCAGAAUCGUUCCCACGGACCAUGCUCCGGAGUCUCAGCAGGCUCCUGCAGUGUGUUUAUCCGUGCGUCAUGAAGGACCCUCAUACAGCUGACGUGCCUUGGCUGAUGCGAGUAACACUGCAGCAAGCGUGGGAGUGCAGAUAGCUCUUGGAAAUACCCAUUUCCUUCAGACGCAUACUCAGAGGUAGGAUUGCUGGAUUCUUU